GGGGAUUUAGCUCAGUUGGCAGAGCGUUCGCUUAGCACCUCUACAAAGUUCCUCUGCGAAAGGUCGCGUGUUCGACUCAUGCAGUGUCCA